rnacentral:tRNA from 1 species
CGCCUCCGUAGCUCAGGGGAUAGAGCACCGCUCUCCUAAAGCGGGUGCCGCAGGUUCGAAUCCUGCCGGAGGCGCCC